GCGCCCGUAGCUCAGUGGGUAGAGCGGUGAAACGGUGAUACACAGUCCCGGGUUCAAGUCCCGUCCCGGCAGUCGCU